GGAGAAAGCAAUCUGCAACUGCAAGUGAGCUUUUCUAGUCAUUAGCCAAAGGCAAAACAAACUUGGUCCUUGCAUACAUAGCUUAGCAGGUUUAAGUCGCUUGUGUUUCAUGGUAUGUUUUGAUCGAGGAGUAGGUUGACACACUGGUCAAAGUUGAGGGGGUUCUUUGUAUCUUAUACCCUAUCGAUUUUCUUAGGGGUGUCCUUUCGUGCCGUCACUAUGGUUUUGCUCAGCAUAGCACAUCAACAGGAAAAUGGAAGAAUGCAAUCAUGCUGGUCCAAAUGACACAAUUAACAUGCCAUACGUUCCAUUAGAAACUUCAUUGAGGGAGGAGUUAGAUAGCUUGCCUGCCUUGUCCUCUUCGUGUUGUAUCUACAGAGUUCCCAAUGACAUACGACGUCUGGAGGAAAAGGACUACACACCUCAAGUCAUCUCCAUAGGUCCACCUCAUCAUGGCAAGGAAGGUUUAGAAGCCAUGGAAGAGCUGAAAAGAGGUACCUACGAGAUUUUAUGUGUCGGACUAAGAUAAGCUUGAAAGACUAUAUCAAGAAAAUAAGGGACCAAGAAGCAAGACUGAGAAGUUGUUAUGCAGAACCCAUCAAAUUUAGCAUUGAUGAAUUUGUAAAAAUCAUUCUAGUGGAUGCUGCCUUCACUACUGAGUUCUUAUUGAGGUUCUAUCUGAAAGAAUCUGGACAUGAAGGAGACCGUUUGUUAAACAAUCCGUGGAUGUUCAGGUAUGUACAGCCUGACAUGUGGUUGCUUGAAAAUCAGCUCCCAUUCUUUGUUCUUGAGGAUCUUUAUCACACAUACAUAAUAACCGACUCUUUUAGGAAUUAUUACAGUACUCAUGAUCAUGAGAGGCUUUCAAUAAUUAAUAUUUCAAAGAAUUUCUUCACAGCUGGAAUAUUGAAUUUGGAGGGUAAAGGAGACAAAUGGAACAGAAUAUCAUCUUCUUCUAGUUCUAUUAAUGUGCAACACUUUGUUGAUCUUAUAAGAAUUUUCUAUCUACCAUUGGAAUCAGAAUUAAGAGAUGCAGGGGAGCUCAAAACCUUGAACAUACCUAGCAUCAAAGAGAUGCACCAGGCUGGAGUCAAAAUUAAGGUAGGAUCAAGCAAAAACUUAGUCGACAUACAAUUUGCAAGUGGAACUCUCAUAAUUCCUAAAAUAAUGAUAACUGGUGACAAACUGCGGACCCUGGGAAAUGUCCUUGCCUUUGAACAAAGCCAUUGCAUGGAAGACAACUACUUAAACGAUUAUGUUAGCAUCAUGGGUCGUUUUGCGAACACUCCAAAGGGUGUGGAGUUGCUUGUUGAGUUUGGAAUUUUUCAAACUGCGGGUACCACCAGCGUGGUGUCAUCUAUGAUUACCAAACUUGCCUCUGAGGCUCUUUUCUUUGUCGAUAGAUUCUGUUACGCGACUCUUUGUGAAGAGCGGAACAACUUCUGCAGAUCGUCCUGGAACAAAUGGAAGGCAAAUUUGAGACAAAAUUAUUUCAACACACCUUGGGCAUCUAUUUCUGUCAUUGCCGCUGUUGUUCUCCUCACACACACUCUCAGACAAACGGUGUGCUCUGUUAUCUCUGCUACUUAACCAUUAAAGGGAACACUUUCGGGAAACUAGUAGUAUUUCAGGUCCUCAUCAAGUAAAGGGAUCCGAGGAAAGCCUGUGAACUCAAGUCCAGAUGAUGAAUGUAAUAUUUCUAUUGUUUGUCCAAAUUUUCACAGUGAAUGAAUUCAAACUGCAGGUUCUUCCUAUCCAGAUUGUUUCUGAUGAAAUAUUAUUUAUUUCUGUGCUAUAAAUUUUUUAGUAAUGAAAAAAGAGAGAAAAAAAAA